rnacentral:rRNA from 1 species
GCUUGUCUCAAAGAUUAAGCCAUGCAUGUCUUAGUGUAAAUAACUCUUAUGAAACUGCGAAUGGCUCAUUAUAUCAGUUAUAGUUUAUUUGAUGGUUCUUACUACUUGGAUAACCGUAGUAAUUCUAGAGCUAAUACAUGCAUCAACCCCCGACUUUUGAAGGGGUGUAUUUAUUAGAUGGAAACCAAUGCGGGGUAACCCGGAAUAUGGUGAUUCAUAAUAACUUUCGGAUCGAUUUAUCGAUGCAUCAUUCAAGUUUCUGCCCUAUCAGCUUUGGAUGGUAGGGUAUUGGCCUACCAUGGCUUUAACGGGUAACGGAGAAUUAGGGUUCGAUUCCGGAGAGGGAGCCUGAGAAACGGCUACCACAUCCAAGGAAGGCAGCAGG